UGCGUAGGUGGUUUAUUAAGUUAUCUGUAAAAUCCCCGGGCUCAACCUGGGCAGGUCAGAUAAGACUGAUAGGCUCGAGUAUAGGAGAGGGUAGUGGAAUUUCCGGUGUAGCGGUGAAAUGCGUAGAGAUCGGAAGGAACACCGGUGGCGAAGGCGGCUACCUGGCCUAAUACUGACACUGAGGCACGAAAGCGUGGGGAGCAAACAGGAUUAGAUACCCUGGUAGUCCACGCUGUAAACGAUGUCAACUAGCUGUUUGUAAUAUAAAAGUUAUGAGUAGCGGAGCAAACGCGAUAAGUUGACCGCCUGGGGAGUACGGUCGCAAGAUUAAA
rnacentral:rRNA from 1 species